rnacentral:rRNA from 1 species
CCUACGGGGGGCAGCAGUAGGGAAUCUUGGGCAAUGGGCGCAAGCCUGACCCAGCAACGCCGCGUGAAGGAAGAAGGCUUUCGGGUUGUAAACUUCUUUCGUCAGGGAAGAGUAGAAGACGGUACCUGACGAAUAAGCCACGGCUAACUACGUGCCAGCAGCCGCGGUAAUACGUAGGUGGCAAGCGUUGUCCGGAUUUACUGGGUGUAAAGGGCGUGUAGCCGGGUUGACAAGUCAGAUGUGAAAUCCUGCGGCUUAACCGUGGAACUGCAUUUGAAACUGUUGAUCUUGAGUACUGGAGAGGCAGACGGAAUUCCUAGUGUAGCGGUGAAAUGCGUAGAUAUUAGGAGGAACACCAGUGGCGAAGGCGGUCUGCUGGACAGCAACUGACGGUGAGGCGCGAAAGCGUGGGGAGCAAACAGGAUUAGAUACCCUUGUAGUC